AGCAAUAAUGAGAGCAUCGGAUAAGCAUUUGCCAUUAACAUAGAUCUUUGAAAAGCAGGACAGAGCUAGUUGCAGUUUGUGUUACCAUUGCAACCUGAAGCAAGAACGGGACCAGUACCAGGGCAUCGACAUUGAUGGUUACGACAGGAGGCAAUCAUUUUCCACUGGCAAGGAAAAGUUUUACAAUCAGCAUCUGUCUCACAUGUGAAUGGUAUUUGACCCUCCACUUUAAAAACCAACAUAUCUGCAUGCAGAAAAUUUUAUUAUAAAGAUAUUGACUUACGUAUAUAUAUAUAUAUAUAUAUAUAGAGAGAGAGAGAGAGAGAGAGAGAGAUAGAGAGAGAGAGCUAACUUGACGCUAUACAGAAAAGAAACAGUAGAGAUAUUGACUUAAGAAGAGCCCCUUUCAUUUUCAUUGGGUUUAUUUCCUGCUAAAUGCUUACAAUGAGAGAAUUGGUAUACUUUAUAUGUAAAUUUUGAGGCUCUUGUGAUUUACCCAUUACUUAUU
rnacentral:lncRNA from 1 species